rnacentral:tRNA from 1 species
GUAAAUAUAGCUUAACCAUAAAGCAUUAGAUUGUGAAUCUAAAGUUAGAGCCUUAGCAUCUCUUAUUUACC